AAGCAUCGGUGCUAUUGGACACGCGUCUCUCUCUCAGCGCUCCUUUCUCUGUCUCUGUCUCUCUCUCGACGAACUCGAGAGCAAUCUUUAUCCGUUUCUUCAUCUUCUUCCCGACGAAAAUCUAUUCAUCUUCGCCAACCGGAGAUCGAUCCUGUUCGACUUCGUCAAUCACCGAAUCACUGGCUCCUCCGUGCUCCUCCCUCUCUUUUAUUUCUGCUUCUGCUUCCAAGUCUAAUUCUUUUGAUUCAGAUUGAUAAUAGUUUCCAGAUUCUCAUAUAGUUGGCGAUCAGGUUAUAAUGCCUUCAGGACAAGGACAGUGUUAAGUGCGAGUGUCCUCCAGGAUUCAAAGGAGACGGUUUUAAGAAGUGUGAAGACAUCAACGAGUGCAAAGAGAGGAAAGCCUGUCAGUGCCCGGAAUGUAGCUGCAAGAAUACUUGGGGAAGCUAUGAGUGCUCUUGUAGCGGGUUCACAAGUGAGAUCAGCGUGGGCUGCCGUUUGGCUUAUAAUGUUAUCAUUGGGACUUGCAGCCGGUGGGGCGUACCUCGUUUACAAAUAUAGAUUAAGGAGAUCAGAGCAAUAAUGGCACAGUACAUGCCACUGGACAGCCAACCCGAGGUUCCAAACCACGUGAAUGAUGAACGUGCCUGAGUGAGCGGAAUGAUGAUCCAUCUAUUUAUUCCUCGUUAAGGGCUCAAGGUGACAUGUUCUUUUAACCGUUUUGGCCCUUGAUGCCUCUGUAUCUCUGUAACUCUUUUACUAAAUAGUGUGUUUGCUAAAACUUGAUGUCUUUUACUUUAAAUGGCUUAUACUUUUUUU